rnacentral:ncRNA from 1 species
ACUAACUUAAGCGAAAGCAUUUGACUCAACACGGGAAAACUUACCAGGUCCGAACAUAAGUGUUUUCUUUAUAAGAAUACUAGCUUAUUAAAUGGACAAAUUGCGUCUAGCAAUAAUGAGAUUAAGCAAUAAUAGGUCAGUGAGCUCUUAGAUGUCCUGUGUUGCAAGCGCGCUACAAUGAAAGUAUCAAAGUGUAUUUCCUAGACCGAGAGGUCCGGGUAAACCGCUGAACCACUUUCAUGCUUGGGAUUGUGAACUGAAACGGUUCACAUGAACUUAGAAUUCCUAGUAAUUGUGAGUCAUUAACUCGGACUGAAUACGUCCCU